GACGAACGCUGGCGACGUGCCUAAUACAUGCAAGUAGAACGCUGAAGAGAGGAGCUUGCUCUUCUUGGAUGAGUUGCGAACGGGUGAGUAACGCGUAGGUAACCUGCCUGGUAGCGGGGGAUAACUAUUGGAAACGAUAGCUAAUACCGCAUAAAAUGGAUUAUCGCAUGAUAAUGCAUUGAAAGGUGCAAAUGCAUCACUACCAGAUGGACCUGCGUUGUAUUAGCUAGUUGGUGGGGUAACGGCUCACCAAGGCGACGAUACAUAGCCGACCUGAGAGGGUGAUCGGCCACACUGGGACUGAGACACGGCCCAGACUCCUACGGGAGGCAGCAGUAGGGAAUCUUCGGCAAUGGACGGAAGUCUGACCGAGCAACGCCGCGUGAGUGAAGAAGGUUUUCGGAUCGUAAAGCUCUGUUGUAAGAGAAGAACGAGUGUGAGAGUGGAAAGUUCACACUGUGACGGUAUCUUACCAGAAAGGGACGGCUAACUACGUGCCAGCAGUCGCGGUAAUACGUAGGUCCCGAGCGUUGUCCGGAUUUAUUGGGCGUAAAGCGAGCGCAGGCGGUUAGAUAAGUCUGAAGUUAAAGGCUGUGGCUUAACCAUAGUACGCUUUGGAAACUGUUUAACUUGAGUGCAAGAGGGGAGAGUGGAAUUCCAUGUGUAGCGGUGAAAUGCGUAGAUAUAUGGAGGAACACCGGUGGCGAAAGCGGCUCUCUGGCUUGUAACUGACGCUGAGGCUCGAAAGCGUGGGGAGCAAACAGG
rnacentral:rRNA from 1 species